UCCGGUUUGUCACCGGCAGUCUCGUUAAAGUGCCCAACUAAAUGAUGGCAAUUAGCGAUAAGGGUUGCGCUCGUUGCGGGACUUAACCCAACAUCUCACGACACGAGCUGACGACAGCCAUGCAGCACCUGUGUCCCGGUUCCCUUUCGGGCACCAAGGCAUCUCUGCCAAGUUCCGGGCAUGUCAAGGGUAGGUAAGGUUUUUCGCGUUGCAUCGAAUUAAUCCACAUAAUCCACCGCUUGUGCGGGUCCCCGUCAAUUCCUUUGAGUUUUAACCUUGCGGCCGUACUCCCCAGGCGGUCAACUUCACGCGUUAGCUACGGUACCAAGGAAUCGCUUCCCCAACACCCAGUUGACAUCGUUUAGGGCGUGGACUAC
rnacentral:misc_RNA from 1 species